rnacentral:rRNA from 1 species
GAUGAACGCUGGCGGCGUGCCUAAUACAUGCAAGUCGAGCGAACGGACGAGAAGCUUGCUUCUCUGAUGUUAGCGGCGGACGGGUGAGUAACACGUGGAUAACCUACCUAUAAGACUGGGAUAACUUCGGGAAACCGGAGCUAAUACCGGAUAAUAUUUUGAACCGCAUGGUUCAAAAGUGAAAGACGGUCUUGCUGUCACUUAUAGAUGGAUCCGCGCUGCAUUAGCUAGUUGGUAAGGUAACGGCUUACCAAGGCAACGAUGCAUAGCCGACCUGAGAGGGUGAUCGGCCACACUGGAACUGAGACACGGUCCAGACUCCUACGGGAGGCAGCAGUAGGGAAUCUUCCGCAAUGGGCGAAAGCCUGACGGAGCAACGCCGCGUGAGUGAUGAAGGUCUUCGGAUCGUAAAACUCUGUUAUUAGGGAAGAACAUAUGUGUAAGUAACUGUGCACAUCUUGACGGUACCUAAUCAGAAAGCCACGGCUAACUACGUGCCAGCAGUCGCGGUAAUACGUAGGUGGCAAGCGUUAUCCGGAAUUAUUGGGCGUAAAGCGCGCGUAGGCGGUUUUUUAAGUCUGAUGUGAAAGCCCACGGCUCAACCGUGGAGGGUCAUUGGAAACUGGAAAACUUGAGUGCAGAAGAGGAAAGUGGAAUUCCAUGUGUAGCGGUGAAAUGCGCAGAGAUAUGGAGGAACACCAGUGGCGAAGGCGACUUUCUGGUCUGUAACUGACGCUGAUGUGCGAAAGCGUGGGGAUCAAACAGGAUUAGAUACCCUGGUAGUCCACGCCGUAAACGAUGAGUGCUAAGUGUUAGGGGGUUUCCGCCCCUUAGUGCUGCAGCUAACGCAUUAAGCACUCCGCCUGGGGAGUACGACCGCAAGGUUGAAACUCAAAGGAAUUGACGGGGACCCGCACAAGCGGUGGAGCAUGUGGUUUAAUUCGAAGCAACGCGAAGAACCUUACCAAAUCUUGACAUCCUUUGACAACUCUAGAGAUAGAGCCUUCCCCUUCGGGGGACAAAGUGACAGGUGGUGCAUGGUUGUCGUCAGCUCGUGUCGUGAGAUGUUGGGUUAAGUCCCGCAACGAGCGCAACCCUUAAGCUUAGUUGCCAUCAUUAAGUUGGGCACUCUAAGUUGACUGCCGGUGACAAACCGGAGGAAGGUGGGGAUGACGUCAAAUCAUCAUGCCCCUUAUGAUUUGGGCUACACACGUGCUACAAUGGACAAUACAAAGGGCAGCGAAACCGCGAGGUCAAGCAAAUCCCAUAAAGUUGUUCUCAGUUCGGAUUGUAGUCUGCAACUCGACUACAUGAAGCUGGAAUCGCUAGUAAUCGUAGAUCAGCAUGCUACGGUGAAUACGUUCCCGGGUCU